GUGGAUUAGAUACCCGGGUAGUCCACGCCCUAAACGAUGAUGACUAGUUGUUGGAGGAGUUAAAUCCUUUAGUAACGCAGCUAACGCGUGAAGUCAUCCGCCUGGGGAGUACGGUCGCAAGAUUAAAACUCAAAGGAAUUGACGGGGGCCCGCACAAGCGGUGGAUGAUGUGGUUUAAUUCGAUGCAACGCGAAAAACCUUACCUACCCUUGACAUGCUAGGAACGCUGCAGAAAUGCAGCGGUGCCCGAAAGGGAACCUAGACACAGGUGCUGCACGGCCGUCGCCAACU
rnacentral:rRNA from 1 species